UGAAAAUGUAAAAUUUUAAAUGCAUGAGUAGUAUGAGUUAAGUUCUUGAAACUUAAAGAAUUUGGCGGUGUUUUAGUCUAUUCAGAGGAACCUGUUUCAUAAUCGAUGAUCCACGUUGAACCUUACUUAAAUUUGUAUUCAAUUUGUAUACCGCCGUCAUCAGAAAAUCUUAUGAGAGUAACAAUUUUGUAAAAUUUUAAUUUUAAUUAUGUCAGGUCAAGGUGCAGUUUAUAUUUAAGUAGAAAUGGGUUACAAUAAAUUUAUUUAAAUGGAUAAUUAAUUUAAUAAUUAAUUGAAGGUGGAUUUGAUAGAAAAAAAUCAAGAUUAUUUUUCUUAUUAUAGCUCUCAAACA
rnacentral:rRNA from 1 species